GUGCCUUGGCAGCACAGAUACUAAAACUGGAAUGACACAGAGAGGAUUCGCAUGGUCUCUGCACGAGGAUGACACACAAAUUUGUGAAGUGUCCCAUUAAAAA
rnacentral:snRNA from 1 species